rnacentral:rRNA from 1 species
UACGUAGGGUGCAAGCGUUAAUCGGAAUUACUGGGCGUAAAGCGUGCGUAGUCGGUUAUCUAAGUCGGGUGUGAAAUCCCCGGGCUCAACCUGGGAAUUGCAUUCGAUACUGGAUAGCUAGAGUUCGGGAGGGAAGCGGAAUUUCGGGUGUAGCGGUGAAAUGCAUAGAUACCAUAAAGAACACCUAUUGCGAAGGCAGCUUACUAAGCUGUAACUGACGCUGAGGCACGAAAGUGUGGGGAUCAAACAGG